rnacentral:lncRNA from 1 species
AAAACAUCGUAUGUUUAAUAAAAGGUCUUUAUUAUUAUAAGGGGGAAAAACUGUGUCUUCCACAAAACUUAAUCUAGGCAGUGGUCAACAGUUAUAUAUUCUCCCAAGGAUAGCUGCCUAGAUGGUGACAGAGUUGGAAGCUGGAAACCCAUUGGUGUUUGUAUGAAUCCAAGAAGACACAAGUUUGAAAUCAAAGCAGACUUAGAAUUCAAUGAUUGUAAGGGUGGGGAUUGUUGGGGUGGUGCAGGGGACAAUGAAUGAAAAAGAGCUAAGUUGGAGAGGAGGUUUUACCAAUGAAGCAGCCACUGUAAUGCAUGGUGAUCAGAGCUGUCUGGUAGGCAAGCUUAGGAGGCUGUGAGAACCCAGUGCAGGCACCCAAUCCAGGCUGGGAAGUCAGAGAUGGCCUCCUAGGGGAGGUGGAUCAUGGCCAUGGUGGUUGACCAGCCCACAUCCAUUCCAUCAGAGAUGAUUGGGUGUGUCAGAGCCAGUGACAGUGAUGCAAUCCUCUUCCUGCUAGUGGUUGGCUCAGGGAAGGGCACAUGACCCAAUCCUGGCCAAGGAGACAUGACGGAAAGGAUGGGGAUCCUUGAGCACACCACUGUAUUGCUGCCUCAACCAAGCCAGGACUCUCCUUCCUCCCUCACC